rnacentral:tRNA from 3 species
GCGGGAGUAACUCAGCGGUAGAGUUCCUGCCUUCCAAGCAGGCUGUCGCCGGUUCGAAUCCGGUCUCCCGCUCCA